rnacentral:rRNA from 1 species
AUUGAACGCUGGCGGCAGGCCUAACACAUGCAAGUCGAACGAGUGGCGGACGGGUGAGUAAUGUCUGUGAAAGUGCCCGGUGGAGGGGGUUAACUAAUGGAAACGGUAGCUACUACCGCAUUCCAUCGGCUGUGCCGAAAUGGGAUUAGCUAGUAGGUGGGGUAACGGCUCACCAAGGAGACGAUCCCGAGCUGGUCUGAGAGGAUGACCAGCAACAUUGGAACGGAGACACGGGCCAGACGCCUACGGGAGGCAGCAGUGGGGAAUAUUGCACAAUGGGCGAAAGCCUGAUGCAGCCAUGCCGCGUGGAUGAAGAAGGCCUUCGGGUUGUAAAGUACUUUCAGCGGGGAGGCGUUACCCGCAGAAGAAGCACCGGCUAACUCCGUGCCAGCAGCCGCGGUAAUUC